rnacentral:tRNA from 1 species
AGGGAGACCUACCUUGGGGCAUCUGAGAGGAGUCAGGCCACCGAAGGUCAUCCCAGGUCGGUCGGGGUUGAGGGGAUGGUUGACUGAGGUUCUGGGGGAGAGCCAAGGGAAGGGCUAUUAGCUCAGGUGGUUAGAGCGCACCCCUGAUAAGGGUGAGGUCCCUGGUUCGAGUCCAGGAUGGCCCACUGUUUGUCCUGGAGAAGGGAGAGCUAGCAAGCUAGAAGCGAGCUGGCCAAGCUGAGGGCAAAGCCAGAGGGUGGGUGCAGUCUGGAUUGGGGGUAUAGCUCAGCUGGUAGAGCGCUGCCUUUGCACGGCAGAAGUCAGCGGUUCGAGUCCGCUUACCUCCACC